rnacentral:rRNA from 1 species
UACGGGGGGGGUAAGCGUUGUUCGGAAUUACUGGGCGUAAAGGGCUCGUAGGCGGCCAACUAAGUCAGACGUGAAAUCCCUCAGCUUAACUGGGGAACUGCGUCUGAUACUGGAUGGCUUGGAUUUGGGAGAGGGAUGCGGAAUUCCAGGUGUAGCGGUGAAAUGCGUAGAUAUCUGGAGGAACACCGGUGGCGAAGGCGACUACCUGGCCUGUUCUUGACGCUGAGGCGCGAAAGCUAGGGGAGCAAACGGG